CGGCCGUGGCUUCCAGGCACGGCUCUGGGCGGCGCCCGGGGUGUCGGGCGCUCCCUGGGCCGCUGGGCGACCGCACAGCAGGCCCGGGGCCUCUGCGCCCCCAGGGCCGGGAGCACCUCUCUGGGGGGACCUGAGCCACCCGGCGUUUUGUGCUGAUGUUAUGGUUACCUGAUGGGAAUUGAGGACACCUGCGGGCCGCCUUCCAUCCCGGUGCCAGACGAGGGGCGGCGGGACACCUGGCCACGUGCCAGUGUGACUCUUGGCCCGACCGAGGACAUGGUCGCCACCUUCCUGUCGGGGACAGCCUGCAGAGUCCUUAGCUCGUCAAAGAUUGGCUUUCCAACGAAGCAGACCUCGAGACAAAGAUUUGGAUGGCCUCUGAUCCCACGGAAUGCAACGUUGUGGGGCCGGGAGCCCGAGUCCCUGAGCGGACCCUGGGGCCGAGGCGAGAAGGAUCGUCUGACCUCCAUGCCCUCGUUCCCGGGCCCGUGUCUCCACUUCCUGAAUUAGAGCACUGCCUGAUGGACAAAAAUAUCUGCUAUACCUCGGAGGACGGAGGUUCGGAAUAGGUAUCGAAUGGUUUCCUGUCUUUUAUCUGAUGUAUUUUUUAAACCGGGUUGAAGUUCACGUAGCAUACGGUUGCACGUUUUAAAGCGAGCGGGUCAGUGGCGCUUAGCGUGUUCGUGGUGUUGUGUGACGGCCACGCCUGGUCCCGAAACACGCCCCUCCCACUCCCAGAAGAGCCCCUGGAGCCACCACACCGCCGCGCCCAUCCCUCCUCCCAGCUCCAGUCUGCUUUCUGUCUCUGUGGGUUUAGCGUAUGCCCAUACCGUAUGUGUGCGGGGGUGUGCAACGUGUGGUCUCUCGUGCCUGGCUUCUUUCACUCGAGGUCCGUCCACGUCGUGGAAUGCACCGGAACCUCAUGCCCUUUUAAGGACAAACACUGCUCUGUUGUUGAGGGAGCACAUCUGUUUAUCUGUCCACCCGUCGCCGGACGCUUGGGCCGUCUCCCCUUUUGGGUCUCACGCGCUGUCUCUCCAGGGACGGCGUCCUACCUCCACACAGGUCAUGGCCAAGCCCAGGCAUUGAGGAGCCUUUCUCUCAGGCUGGUAGGUUUGUUUGAGGUGGACGUGUGUAGGAGACAGGACCAGCAGGUCCCAGGGUCCCGGUCCUUUGGUCACCCCUUCCCUGUCAUGGGGGUCUGUUGGCCCGAGGUGACAUCUCAUGGGAUUCUGUGUUGGCAGAUGAGAUACCCUGGGAGCCCUUGGCGAGUGUGGUUGGCGGAGGCCGUGGGGACGGGGAAGGCAAAGCCUGAACACUGAUCGGUAGGGGAUGGUAAAUCGCCCCCGAGGAGGGAAGGUCUGAUGGGUUCUGAUGUACUCACCUCAGCAUCAGGAUGCUGGUUGGCAGCUGGAGGGGCGGCACCCCGGCCAGGGCUUAGGGUCGGUCCCCGCCACGCCCCCUGCGUAGAACCUCCAGCCUCACCGCCACGCAGCUUUGUUCGCGUGCUGCUUGUUCAAGGACAGUGGGGAACAGACGGGGCUGGCCCUCACUGUGCCGGCGUCCUAUUCUCCUGGCCAUGUUCACGCCGGUGCCCUCACAGGCCAUCACGUGUAGGGGUGGGGGAUGGUGAACAACCGUUCACACAUCGGGAGCCCACCCGUCCCCAGGACCUCCUGGGGUCUGACCUGAUCCUGCCCUUCUGGGCUGUUCGCCCCUGCCUUGGAGUCGCCGUGUCCCCCAGCCCCCCACCACUUCUGCCUUCCCAUGAAGUUGAUGAUGUGUCCCUGUUGAAGCUCUGCCUCGUGGGACCACACCCGAGCGAGUGGGGCUGAAGCGAGGUGGGUGCUGCGGUCCCACAUGCGCCAGUGGAGGGCGGCCCGUGGGCGGGCUCACUGGGAAAUUACAUGUUAGGGGAACACGAACCGAGUGUGGAAAAUGAAGGCGAGCGGCCCGGCCGCGGAGUAGAUGUAGGAGACGCUUAACUACCACCGCGGUCGUGUCAUUUGUUGAAUGGUGCAAACCCACAACUAUUUUUUUAUUGUUUGGUAAUGCUUUAAAAAUUUUGCAGUAAACCCUUUCAGCAGCCGUGAGCAGAAAAAGCUGAAAGUCAUGCUUCAUAAAAGUACCAGAUUGUUAUUUCUUUUUCUCAAGAGAGUGGACGGUGCACGUUUAUUUGUACAAAACGGAUGUUGGUGUGACGUCCAACCCGGGGCAGCCGCGACAGAACCGGGGGCGCGGGGACCAGGGGCAGGGCCAGCCGGUCGCAGAGGUGGUCACCGAGAAGCCUGGAGUCGCCGGCAAGCGGGCGCGCUUCCCCAGGGUUCCGUGAGGCCUGUCGCUUUGCUCAGAUUUACUGUCUGUUCUGCUGAAUGAACUAACUGUGCCCACGGUGGUAGCCCACGUCUUCUUGCGCACGGACCGUCGGCAGGCCUUUGCAAGCCGUCGAGUGUUCAGAUGAGCGUCCCGGUAGUUUCCGGCAGGAAAUCGGUUAAAUUAAUUUCAAAAUCAUUUUGAUGUUUUUCAUCCCGUUGAUGGAGUCUAGAUAAAGCAGCUGGAAGUUUAUUCUGUCAGACGUGAAACGCACCUGAUGUGCGGCCGCUUGAGCUGUAAAUUGAGUUUUAAAAAACGCCUUCGAUGCUGAAAUGUUUUUGGUUUGGCAGGUGAUUACAAGAAGACAAAUUUUGGAUGAUCACAGCUGUAUGAUUAAAGACACAAUAUUUUGAUCUUGUUAAGAAGCCCAUCGUCCCUGGGAACUUCGGUGGCUCACACCAUGUUCCUAAUUGCGUGGAAAGCAGCCUGGGGUGUGGCCAAUGGACCUGGAAGGUGUGCUUUUCAAAACAUGAGGAUAUUUUUAUGUGCACACAGCAGAGCUGGACGAGAGAACGGAUUUCAAAGGUGCCGUGUAAUUAAAAAACGCUUCGGCACGCCGUGUGGGGCUGCGUGCCGCAGGUUCUCAGAGUUCAGAAACAGUUGGCCGUCGGAGGACGACCCGCGACGAUUUCAGACAUUUUCGGGAAUGGGUCUGUAGAUUGUGGCUGUGUUUUAUGUAAGUUGGACGUUUUUAAAUCGUCCCGUUUGUCUGACGGAGGAGCACAGCACUCGAGCUUUUGAAUCCCUCAGGAACUGUACUGAUUGAGAGUAAAGUUCGCAAAGUUGAACAGAACUGCUGUGGAGCCGUGGGGAAGCCAGGGAGGAGACGGAACAAACUGAACUCGAGGGGGUCGGAGAGUAUGCGAGAUCUAAUUUCCAAAUUGUGUAAUUGUGCUUUGGAAAACCGUACUUGUGGGAAGAAUGUUUUGAUGGUGCCUUUAGGUCUAAUUGCAUCAAUUUAUAUUUUGGAACGACACGGAACCCUUUUGAGCUGGCCAUUGAAAAGGAUCGCGCGCAGGGACGGCUUAUUUGAGUUUUGCCUGUACCGUAUUUGUUGCAGGAUAGAGAGCUGAGCCUCUGGGUGGGCGGGGUAGAGACCUGAGGAGGGCACCCAAGAGGGUAUUUGUGCUGGAGUAUUUACACAUUCAAAUAAAACAAAAACAAAAAAUAACAAACAAGUGAGCCCAGGACUGUGCAUACUUUCCACGGAGCAGAAGUUCCUCCGAGCCCAUGGGGCAUCCCGGGGUCUCUCAAGAGUGAGUCGUCUGAACUGAGAACACUGGUCUGUCGAGGGCCUCGAAAGCCCUCCAGAAAUUCAAAGCCAUGAAUGUAAAUUUGAAGGAUUUGGCAGCAGUUUCAUGAAAACAAUAAAAAAUAAGAUCCAGUGAGAGAAAUCCCAGUGGUCAGUGGGAGAGAGCCUCGGGCAAGGACACAGAGUGGAGGGUACGACAAUGCGGCGAGAAUAGUAAAUACAAACUUGCGAUUUUAACGCAGGUUUUUGUGUGUUUAGAAAGCGUUUUUGGGCACAGUAGGUGCAACGUCUGUCUUCAGCUUGGAUCGUGAUCUUGCGGUCCGUGGGUUCGAGCCCCGCGUUGGGCUCCGUGCUGACAUCUCAGCUUCGGAUUCUGUGUCUCCCUCACUCUCUGCCCCUCCUCUGCUCACACUGUGUCUCUCUCUCAAAAAUAAACAAACAUUCAAAAAAAUGAAAAAAAAGAAAGCGUUUUCUCUUUGAAAAUCGGUUUUGAACAGAACUAUCUCACAGAGCCUCCGAGAUGACACAUCCACCUUGUAGGUGAAGCGAGCCCCGUGAGCCUCACCGUUCACACUCUUCCGGGCCGUCCGCGCUGGGGGAGGAGUCGGGUGGCCCCGGCUGGGGACCAGGGAGAGGGAAGGCGUCUGGACUGUGGCCCCACCGUGCGGGCGGGACCGUGGUGCCCACGCCCCAGAGGACGGCUCUGCCAGGAAUAAUCAUGUGGCUUCUUCCUUCGCCCCAGCCGGACAGUCCCCUCCAGAUGCAGAUCCUGACACCCCACAGGGCUGGCUCCCAUCACACUCCAGGGUCGCUAUGGGACCCUGUGACAGCCCUGCAAACCCAAGGAGGUGGCCGCCGGGUCUCCCCUUUUCUGGGCUCCGGCACCACCCCGUCACCUCCUUCCUCUGCGCCCAGACACGGGA